GAAUUAUAAUGAUUAUAAGAUACCUUUCUAAUAAUAUUUUAGAAAUAUAAGUAUAAUAAGAAAAUAAUAAAAAACAGGUACAAAUAUUAAAUCGAGGUACUCAUUCUAUGACAAUUCUCAACAACUCCCCCUCCAUUCUUGUGCCUUUAGUGGGCUUAGUAUUUCCGGCAAUUGCAAUGGCUUCUUUAUUUCUUUAUAUUCAAAAAAACAAGAUUUUUUAGAUCCAAUUAGGUCCGAUGGGGGUAGAUUUCAUUUUUUUUUUUUUUUCAAGACUUAGACUUGGAUCAUAAUACAGAUAUCUAUUUAGUAUAAUAUGAUAUAACAUACAGGCUGCUCCCUUCAAACAUAAACGAAAAUGAAAGGGUUCUUAUGCAGGCGUAAAUAUUAUAUAUGAGUAAGUGAACUAUUUGAAAAAAAAAAAAAAAAUUGAGACUGCGGCGGAUGCCUGAAAUAAAUGCAAAGCCAAUGUUUUU
rnacentral:misc_RNA from 1 species